rnacentral:rRNA from 1 species
AGCAGCCGCGGUAAUUCCAGCUCCAAUAGCGUAUAUUAAAGUUGUUGCAGUUAAAAAGCUCGUAGUUGGAUUUUAGGCCUGGCCGGGCGGUCCGUCUUUGGCGAGUACUGUCUGUUGUCGGGUCUUCCUUCUGGUGAACCAAUAUGUCCUUUAUCGGGUGUGCUGGGGAGCCAGGACCAUUACCUUGAAAAAAUUAGAGUGUUUAAAGCAGGCUUUUGCUUGAAUAGAUUAGCAUGGAAUAAUAGAAUAGGACGUUGUGGUUCUAUUUUGUUGGUUUCUAGGACCACCGUAAUGAUUAAUAGGGAUAGUUGGGGGCAUUAGUAUUCAAUUGUCAGAGGUGAAAUUCUUGGAUUUAUUGAAGACUAACUAUUGCGAAAGCAUUUGCCAAGGAUGUUUUCAUUAAUCAAGAACGAAAGUUAGGGGAUCGAAGACGAUCAGAUACCGUCGUAGUCUUAACCAUAAACUAUGCCGACUAGGAAUCGGGCGACGUUAUUUUAAUGACUCGCUCGGCGCCUUAUGG